rnacentral:rRNA from 1 species
UACAGAGGGUGCGAGCGUUAAUCGGAAUUAUUGGGCGUAAAGGGAGCGUAGGCGGAUGUGCAAGUGGUAGGUGAAAUACCCGGGCUUAACCUGGGGAGGUCCUAUCAGACUGCACGUCUAGAAUAUGGUAGAGGAAGGUGGAAUUCCUGGUGUAGCGGUGAAAUGCGUAGAUAUCAGGAAGAACAUCAAUGGCGAAGGCAGCCUUCUGGGCCAUUAUUGACGCUGAGGCUCGAAAGCGUGGGGAGCGAACAGG